GUGUGGCCCAAAAACAAAAAACAAACAAACAAAAAGAAAUGUGGACCUGGAGAAAUUUAGGGCUAGCUUGCUCCUUGCAGGUCCAAGAUCAACAGUCCCACAUUG